UGUACGAAUGCUGAGCAUGGUCUGUCGCGAAUUGCCACUGAAUUUCCAGAUCCCCAGGACGCAGAUCUGGGGGAGAAAUGGCUGGAAAAGCAAUGGCAGCAUGUGGGCUGCCCCACAGUCCAGCCAGGCAGGAGCCUUGGCUGCCCUUCUGGAGAAAGACAAGUUGAUUGACAAAACCCAGGGAACAAUCACCGGCAGAAAAGCUGCCUCAGGAGAAUAUUUUAACACACUUGCCAACAGGCAAAACCAUCUUCAGAUACUGUCCGUGCACAGGUAUCUGAAUCACAGUUACAAUGAAAACAGUGAAGUCAUCAAGACACUUCCAUGGCUUCUGUCUCCUGAACCUGUCCAUGAAAUCUCUUUGAAUAGAAGAACUUCCUGAACAGAUCAUCAAAUCCAGCAUCCUCUUCCUAAUGACAAUAUUAGAGGUUCAUGAAUGUAAAAGAUGGGGAUGGAUCAUUCCUCAGGUCGAUUUGAUGCUAAUGAACUGGAGGCGCAUUAGGACUAACUGCUUCCUGGCACAGACUACACAGACAUUGUGCAAGAUUCCUUUCAGCUCAGCUUUGCUGACAUGUUUGGUUCUGACAUCAAAUGUCUCAAGUUUUUCCAGUUCUGACCCUCUGCAAGUGAAAAGGCCUCUGACAGUGAACUUGUGCCAAAAUACCUGGGGAGCUGGAGCAGACUGGAAAGACUGGGUUGUUCUGCCUGUGAUCUCAGGCAGGGGUUUGAGCUGCUCUGCAGCUCUGGAGGUCAGUCUGCAGAACAGGGAAGAGGCAUCAGGUGGGAUGGGGAGAGUUAGUUCCAGUGGGAUGAGUGAACACACUGACAGCCAGCAGGCAAAUGGCUCAGUUCCUUAUUUCCAGUGGAAAAUAUUUCAAUUACAGUUUUUUGUUUCAUCAACAUUUUUCUUAGAUCCUUUUUCAUUUUCUGAAUAAAAGGAAAUCAUCCUUGG
rnacentral:lncRNA from 12 species